rfam:Pteropus alecto contig53165, whole genome shotgun sequence.
GUCUAUGCCCAUGCCACCCUGAACAAGCUCGAUCCCGUCUGACCUCAGAAGCUAAGCAGGGUCAGGCCCGGCUAGUACUUGGAUGGGAGACCAGCUAGGAAGACCAGGUGCUAUAGGCG